rnacentral:rRNA from 1 species
GAUGAACUAAUGCGAAAGCAUUUAUCAAGGAUGUUUUCAUGUGAUCAAGAACGAAAGAAAAGGGAUCAAAGACGAUCAGAUACCGUUGUAAUCUUUCUAUCUGUAAACGAUGCCGACCAAAGAUGGGAAGCCCAAAAAUGGUAUUGUAAAAGAUAUCAUUUGGUUGCUAAAUUAAUUGAUUGAAUAGCAAUAUUCUUUUCAAUUUAAUGCCCUUUCCCGGAUUUUGUGAGAAAUCAUUGAGUUUUCUGGCUCUGGGGGGAGUAUGGUCGCAAGACUGAAACUUAAAGAAAUUGACGGAAUGAUACACAACGACGUGGAACCUGCGGCUUAAUUCGACCCAACACGCGAAACCUCACGAGUUUAGGACAAGCGAAGGAUUGACAGAUUGAAAGCUCUUUCUUGAUUGUUUGGAUGGUGGUGCAUGGUCGUUGUUGGUUGUUGUUUUGAAACGUCCGCUUAAUUGCUUAAAAGAACGAGACCAACGCGUUUAAAUAGGUUGUGUUCAAAAUUGUGAAUUGAGGUAAUACUCAAGAUGAUUAGUGGGCGAAGCGGUUAUAUAAAAGUUCUUUACUGAAUUUUUGUGUAACUUUCGUUCGUUAUCAUUCAAUAAAUUUUGAAACCAAGAGGGAAGUCGUUCUUGGAAAGAGGGGGCAGGGUAGCAAUAUCUUGUUUUUUUUUUUUAAGAGGGGCUUCUUUCAUUUUUCCUUUAUUAAACGAACUACUAUUUUGGAGAUUAAAAACCUCUAAAAAAAUUUGACGAUAAGUCAGUGGAAGUUGUUGGCAAUAACAGGUCUGUGAUGCCCUUAGAUAAAUUCGGCUGCACGCGCGUUACACUGUCAAUUUCAAAAAGUAGUUUGUAAGCUCGCUUUAGAGUUCACUUUUUGCGUAGCAAUAUGUAGAAAGCCUCUAUUCAACUUACAUACAUCCUGACUUGACAAGGUUGGGUAAUCUUUAGAACGAUUGACGUGAUUGGGAUUAUGAAUUGCAAUUAUUUCAUACAAACGAGGAAUUUCUAGUAAUCGUAGUUCAUCAAACUACGCUGACUAAGUCCCUGUCAUUUGUACACACCGCCCGUCGCUCCUACCGAUUGAAUGACGUGGUGAAAUUUUUGGAGAAGAGAUGGUUGGGUUAAACUGAUCAUCACUUCAAAGUUAAUUAAACCCUUUCAUUUAGAGGAAGGAGAAGUCGUAACAAGGUUUCCG